GACAAUAGUGAAAACCAAACAUUCGGCAUUCAAAUGUUUGGUUAGUGAUACGCUUCUACAGCCGACAUUGAGAACCUUGGUGAAAAGGUCGCGCAGAGUUCGGGUGAAUCUGAUACACAGAUGAUACUCAACCCUUUCCAAUUAGCUGGUGUGUCGUUAAAUAACGUAACAUUAUAUGUACAUAAGUAUUUGAUUAUAUAUUAUUCCUAAAAAUGUGGACAAGGAUGUAUGCGACCUUUACAAAGACUUGUAUAAAAUGUGCGUCGCUUCACCAAUAACAAUGCAUACUUGUUUGUAGUGUCUUUGCCAGAAUACGAUCCAACAACACCAUGGUCCCAACUGUAAAGUUGCAUACUGUUCCGAAGAUUAUCGUAUGGAGGCUUUAAAUAAAUACCAUGGAGUUGCUUGUAUGGGUGCUUUCCACUCAAACGACACACACCCAAAAAAUGCAUUGAAUGAAAUAUAGAAAAAACGCAAACUGGUACAAUUAUGUUAUUUGUUCGCUUAAGGCUUUGUAUAACCAAAGCAACAAAAAAGAACAUUUUCUCCAAUCACUUCAAUAAUUCCAAUCGCUAGUAGUGAAUACAGAACAAAACAUAUGUAUAUCACAAAAUGUUGGGUGAACACUUUCAAUAACUA